rnacentral:rRNA from 1 species
UACGAAGGGGGCUAGCGUUGCUCGGAAUCACUGGGCGUAAAGCGCACGUAGGCGGACUCUUAAGUCGGUGGUGAAAUCCUGGAGCUCAACUCCAGAACUGCCUUCGAUACUGAGAGUCUCGAGUCCGGGAGAGGUGAGUGGAACUGCGAGUGUAGAGGUGAAAUUCGUAAGAUAUUCGCAAGAACACCUAUGGCGAAGGCAGCUCGCUGGGACGGUAACUGACG